GUUUCUGUAGUGAAGUGGUCAUCACGUCCGCUUCGCACGCCCAACGUCCCCAGUUCGAACCUGGGCAAAAACA